AAAGUCGUAACAAGGUUUCCGUAGGUGAACCUGCGGAAGGAUCAUUAUCGUGGGGCUCCGGCCCCGUCGAGAUAGCACCCUUGCCUUUAUGAGUACCGCCCGUUUCCCCGGCAGGCUCGCCCGCCAAUGGGGACACAAACAACACCCUGAGACACCUGUAACCGCCUGAUAAAACAGACAAAAGUCAAAACUUUCAACAACGGAUCUCUUGGCUCUG
rnacentral:misc_RNA from 1 species